UUCUGUCCCUCUAUGUUCAAUAGUAUUGUAUUAGUUUGCUGGUGCAUUUCUUUAUCUUACCGCUAGGGGUCAGUACCUCUUUUAAGGGUUUCUUCUUCUAUUAUAUAUGGAGUGUGCUCCUCAUGAUGUGUUGUUAAAAAGUUUGUUACAUGCAGUGUGAGAAAAGGUUCAGAGGCUUUGACAUGCUAUUCUCAUCUCAGACACCUUAUAUCUUCAGGAAGCUUUGAUAUGCCAUAAUCUUUUUACAAUCAAGAAAAAGAGAGGUCUACAGUAAAGACACAAAAGAAGGAAAAAA